CCUUCUUAUGUUGAGCUAAGUAAAGCAGGUGUUCGGUAGAGAGUGUACAGGCCGGGUGUGGUGUUCAGCAGGUGUUCAGUAAGGAGUGUAAAGGCUGGGUGGUGUUAAGCAGGUGUUCAGUAAGGAGUGUAAAGGCUGGGUGGUGUUAAGCAGGUGUUCAGUAAGGAGUGUAAAGGCUGGGUGGUGUUAAGCAGGUGUUC